rnacentral:rRNA from 1 species
UACGUAGGGUGCGAGCGUUGUCCGGAAUUAUUGGGCGUAAAGAGCUCGUAGGCGGUUUGUCGCGUCGACUGUGAAAACCUGGGGCUUAACUCUGGGCCUGCAGUCGAUACGGGCAGACUUGAGUUCGGUAGGGGAGACUGGAAUUCCUGGUGUAGCGGUGAAAUGCGCAGAUAUCAGGAGGAACACCGGUGGCGAAGGCGGGUCUCUGGACAGUUCCUGACACUGAGGCACGAAGGCCAGGGGAGCAAACGGG